AAAGUCGUAACAAGGUUUCCGUAGGUGAACCUGCGGAAGGAUCAUUAACACGUAUCCAAACGUUUUAAAACUCAAAAUAUCUGUGAACAGUAACGAAAGUUACUCCCCCUCCCCUAUUUUAUCAAACCCCCUUUUAAAAACUUUUUCUUUUUUGAACUGAAAAACAAAACUUAAAACAAAGGUUCAUUCCUUUUUUUUUAAAUUUACAAAAAUGCUGAACAACUCUUAACAACGGAUAUCUUGGUUCUC
rnacentral:misc_RNA from 1 species